AUUAUCUUAUAAGUAGAUCUUGAUAGAGUGCAAGACUUAGUACAAUGAUUAGAUUGCUCGAAUAUGCUUUUUCGUGCGAGAGGCUGGAGUGGAUGGCGAGACGAGCGGGGACGAGCCUGGCGUCGGCCUUCUUCUUCGAGUCCCUGAAGCCGGUAAUCCUGCUAUCAACCUCCGCCGCCGCCGGAAGAUUUUGAGUUGCAUUUGGAGUUCAAAAAUAUGUUUCUGAAUUGGGUUAUUGAUCCUACAAUCAUUCAAUUCAUGCCAGAGUUCCAAGUUAUGUUGUUGACAGGGGAAUUUCUUUUUGUUAUUAAUGUAAGGGUUUCUUGAAAUGUUCAUUAUCUGCUUUACUUUUUUUGCUGAUUCUUCUUUGAAAUCUUUUAUGAGAAUUUGAUUUCAUAUUUCUGGUGUUGAUUGAAAUAAAGAUUUGUGAUUCAUGUUUAAAUGUCUUUAUCCUUGUCUAGUUAUGCUGCACAAUGAUUCCUCCACAGCUGUAACCAGUUUGCAUGUGAAUGCAGCUGUUUAUUGCAAUUUCUAUUGACUAUUUUUUCGCUUGAUAUGCAUGUUAAGUUUUGUAGGAUAGUUUGAUUUGGUAUCUCUAGUUGAUGUCUAAGGCAAAGAUCUGUUAUUUGCAUUGGGGUCUGUCACUAGGAUAGCUUACUGGAGCUGUUGGGUGUGGUUUUGUGGUAUUGUUAAAUCGCUAGACAGUGGAUGAGUGGGGUUUUCUUAUUGGGCUUGUUGCUUCAUUAUAUUCUGUUUAUUUUCAUCUAAGAAGCUGGUAUGUUCAGUGUCUAAAUAGGUAUCAGAAGAUUUAUCCAUUCUUUUUCAAUGGCUGUCUUUCAUAUGCAUAUCUCCCUGCAGAUGGCAAACGGGGACUUAAAUAGAUAAUUUGCUGCUAUAGGAAUCUCUUUCUGUCUUGCUUUUGAACCAGUGACAGUUUUAUUUAAUGAAACUGAAGGAUGUAUGCUGUUUGUUUUAUUUUCUCCAGCAGUGCUUGAUGUUGCAGAAUCUAUAUAUCUUUGUGGCAUGUGGUAUAUACAUCAACAACUAGUGCCGACGUAUAUUCCAUUGGUAGCAAUUUGAAGGGGGUGGCAACUUCUGCGGCUCCAGCUUUGAUAACAUUCAACCUCUUCAUCCCCCAUAUUUCUCCAUGGAAUUACCAUUGGAUAUAAUGAUGUGGUUUGUAAAGCACCUUUAGCAGUACAUAUUUCUCCAUGGAAUUACCAUUGGAUAAAGUUUAUUUUAUUCAGUAACUGGGUAGCGCAAUCAAAAUCUGUAGAUCAAAAACCAGCAAUUAAUGUACU